UGGGGAAUAUUGGACAAUGGGCGAAAGCCUGAUCCAGCCAUGCCGCGUGUGUGAAGAAGGUCUUCGGAUUGUAAAGCACUUUAAGUUGGGAGGAAGGGCAGUAAGUUAAUACCUUGCUGCUUUGACGUUACCGACAGAAUAAGCACCGGCUAACUCUGUGCCAGCAGCCGCGGUAAUACAGAGGGUGCAAGCGUUAAUCGGAAUUACUGGGCGUAAAGCGCGCGUAGGUGGUCUGUUAAGUUGGAUGUGAAAGCCCCGGGCUCAACCUGGGAACUGCAUCCAAAACUGGCAAGCUAGAGUACGGUAGAGGGUGGUGGAAUUUCCUGUGUAGCGGUGAAAUGCGUAGAUAUAGGAAGGAACACCAGUGGCGAAGGCGACCACCUGGACUAAUACUGACACUGAGGUGCGAAAGCGUGGGGAGCAAACA
rnacentral:rRNA from 1 species